rnacentral:rRNA from 1 species
ACAGCAGCCGCCGCGGGAAUACAGAGGGUGCGAGCGUUAAUCGGAUUUACUGGGCGUAAAGCGUGCGUAGGCGGCUUCUUAAGUCGGAUGUGAAAUCCCUGAGCUUAACUUAGGAAUUGCAUUCGAUACUGGGAAGCUAGAGUAUGGGAGAGGAUGGUAGAAUUCCAGGUGUAGCGGUGAAAUGCGUAGAGAUCUGGAGGAAUACCGAUGGCGAAGGCAGCCAUCUGGCCUAAUACUGACGCUGAGGUACGAAAGCAUGGGGAGCAAACAGGAUUAGAUACCCCCGUAGUCCCUGUCUCUUAUAA